rnacentral:rRNA from 1 species
UACAGAGGUCUCAAGCGUUGUUCGGAUUCAUUGGGCGUAAAGGGUGCGUAGGCGGCGGGGCAAGUCUGAUGUGAAAUCCCGGGGCUCAACCCCCGGAACUGCAUUGGAUACUGCCCUGCUUGAGCACUGGAGAGGAGACUGGAAGUUUACGGUGUAGCAGUGAAAUGCGUAGAGAUCGUAAGGAAGACCAGUGGCGAAGGCGAGUCUCUGGACAGUUGCUGACGCUGAGGCACGAAGGCCAGGGGAGCAAACGGG